GUAGGCCUAAUGCGUAUUUGAAAAAUAAAUGUACCAAAAUAUGUCAUUCCAUUGCUCUUGAUUUACUUAAGCGAAUCUAUUCCCCAAAUUAAAUACAAAAAUAGCCUUAAGCUUUAUUACAUCUCAAAAAAGAAUAAAGAAAUAAAGCUCUUCAUCGCAUCUACGCAUCUUCUUCUCAUGGCAUGCUCGUGGUUUAAUCUCCAUAGGCCAAAACUUGUGAUCUUCAUAGCUAUUUGCAUCACAAAAGGGUUAAUACCCUCCCUCCUAAGUUUAAUUAAUUUAGAACCAAUGGUCCAUAUUUUGGCUAAACUAUUUUUCAAAUAAUGCACACACAAAUGAUAAGAGUCACUCGGGGUCGUGAACCCACUUGGACAUUUGGAUAAAGUUGACUAAUGAACUUAAUACACCAAGGGUAUUAAACCUCUUAGAUUUAUAUGAUGCAUGUACCGUAAAAGGUGUUGGUUCAGCUCUAUCCUAGGUUGAUUAAGAGUGGGUUUACUAGACACAAGGUUCCCAAGUGGACAACUCGAGUGAGAAGGCUACACGGUCACACGGAAAAAGAUUUGGACACCCCGUGCAUACACCAACUCUCCUAAAUUUGGGAUUUUGAAAGAAAUUUGUGGGUGCGCAAAACACACAUCGCGUGUACGUGUGAUUGUGUGAAUUUUCUAGAAAUGGAAGAAUUAUGAGCGGAAUGACAAUUUUUAUGAAGCAGUAACAAAUAAACAAUUUAUAUAGAGCAUUAACAAAUAAACAGUUUAUGUCACAUAAGCACGAUAAUAAAACAUUUAAGCAACUAAAAUAAACAAACAAUUAAAAACACAAGCAAAUACUAAAAACCUUAAUUAUUAACCUAAGUCUGUUAUGGUUUAAAACCUAAUUUUCCCCAGUGAAGUCGUAAUUUCUGUUAUACCCCAUUUUAACUCGAGGUCCAAAUUGUGUACAACAUUUUGGUGAUUUCCAAAUUAUUACCUAACUUAAGAAGUCGCCACCUAAUUAUUACGGUGAAUUAGGACACCUAAAUAUUUGACUAAGUAAUACUAAAAUUGACUCCAAUUAAGGCCUACUUAACCUAUGUGAUUCUAGGUAAGGGUUCUAAAUUAUCCUAAAGGGAAGGUGUAAGGCAUCCUUUAAGAUUAGUUAAAAACUAUUAACCGGCCAAACUUAGGUUAAUUAAUUUUGAAAGAAAGAUAUGAAUGCUAAAGAUUAAGUGAUUGAAUAAUCAAAUUGGAAACAUUUCUUAACUGUGAAAGCUCUUUUGUAAUUGUAAUAGAAUGAUAAAGAUUUAAGAAAAAGUAACUCGUCUAGGUAAAUUUAGACAAAAUUUGUGAUCCAAUGGCUAAAAGAAAGGUAAUUAAAAUAAAGGUAUUUUCUCUCAUUUAUUGACAAAGUGCUUCCUUUAGAAAAGUAUUUUUAGAAAAAUAGGAGUUUUUUUCUUUUUCGAAAUACACUACCAAGUUUGAACAAAACUUAAUAAUUAGUGAGUUUAAAGUGGUGCAAAAAGAAGUGUUUUAAAAAAGAGUUUGCCAAAUGAAGUUUAUAAAAGCUAAAGCGACUAUGAAGGUUGUUUCUAACUAAAGGUAGGGAAACCCAAACAUCUAUAUUAAGUUAGUUAUUAUGAAACAAGAAAUGAACACAUAUCCAAAACACAUAAGCAAAUUAAAACAAAUAAAUGCUAAAUAGUAAAAGCGACCCUCAAAUGAAUUUUGCUCACUAUUUGGAUAGUCUAAGAUGUCGACUUCAUGUGCGGGUAUGAUGGUGUCGAGUCCAUGAGACUCUAAUUUUGGUAGAGUCCUUAAAUGAGCCCUCUUGCACGGUGAGAGUCUUUUAUUGAGACUCCAAAUAGCUCCGGAAGUGUUCAUGCAAAUAAAGAAAGAAUAAAGAGAUUAGGGAGGCGAAUCCACUUUAAGACUAUCAAAUAAACCAAACAUGAAGCUAGUAAAGUCGUACAACCAAAAUACUAUCCGGAAUGAAAAAUAUGCAAGCAUAGGAUAAGUCGACUUAUUAACAUAACUCAAAGUAACUAGUCUACAAGAUAAAACUAACUCUCAAGUUUAUCCAACUUAAUCUAUAACAAAGUUACAUUUUAAGGCAUGAAGAUAAUUAAAACAAGCCAUUUAUUUAAAACUUAUAAGAAAGAUUUAACACAUAUACUAUAUAUGUUGACAGAAUAGGAAAGAAACUUAAAAACUCAUAUUUUUUUAAAUAAACUAUUCAGAGAUUUACAUGUCAUUUAUUUAGAAAAAUUGAAGGAAGCUUAUGUACACAUAUUUGCUAAAAAAUAAUAGGAAAGAAGUUUAAAGAUUCACAAUAUUGACAGUAUGUUUUCCAUUCAACAGAGGGAACAAAUAGAGGCAUCAUAACAUAAAAUCUAUUGCCAGAUAAGGAUACCAAAUGCCAUUAAUUUAUAAGAACGGAAGAUUUGAUUACAAAACCAUUAUAUGAUGGCUAAAAAUGUAAAAUAAACAUGGCUUUGGAUAUCUAAAAGAUUUGAGCUAAGCCCAAAUACAUUUUAAACAUCACAUUUAGUAUAGCUAAAAGUGACCAGAGACAACAUUUUCAUCAUGAUGACAAAGAAAACAGAGGAAAAGAGGAACACAUUACAAGUUGGCUAUCGAAAUACAAAGUUUAGGACAUUUUAUUUGCGCCUUAAUCUAGUAAAAGGCUAUACUCCGACAAACAUAAACAAAGCAAUACAUAUUUUUAUAGGCUUAACAUUAUCUCAAAACAGAGGGAUAUAUAUUUGGUUAAACAUCACUUAAGUAUGCUAAUAAGUAUUUUACUCAUUUGUCAAACUUCAAACAAAGCAUAGUUUCCAAAGAGUUUACUACCUAAAAAUGAGUCUUGGAAACAUGAUUUCUAAAAAAAAAUAAAACAAUCUUCAAAAUACUUUAACAUCUUAUUUUAACAAAAGAAAUGAACAAACAGUGAAUAUUAAAAUCAAAGAUCAGCUAAGUUACAUUCAUUCAUCAUGAUGCCAAAACACAAAAGUACUGAAAUGAAACUAACAGUAAGUCCAUAACACAUUAAAACACAAAUUCGUCCAUAUCUCAUGAAAAUAAAAUAAAAAAGAAACUAGAUGUCACUGACCUAUUUCGGGGCAGCGAACUGGGGCGUUUUCGGUCGAAGAUCUAUGCUCGAAUACGAAGACGAGGGUAAGCCCGUUCAAAUCCAAAAUCGUAGCAACAAGAUGAAGAACAAGGCUUCAAAACUAGGUGUGAUAGCUUCAAAGCUUUUAGGGUAAACGAGUAGCUAAAAAACUUAUUGAAAUUGACUCCAAAUACAAGUAUUUAUAGGGAGAAAAACAGAGUUUAUGAGCGGGAGUUUGAAAUUUUGAAUUGGUCAAAAAAACAAACCUUCAAAUCCAAACGUUUGAAGCCCUUAGGAUAAGAUUUACAGGAGCAACGUGAUUGAGAUGACAUCAGCAUGAAGAUGGCGUUUUUUGUUGACAAAAUACGCUACUUUUCUAGAUAAAAAUGAAAGAGGAGACAUGAUGUGCGACUGCUAA
rnacentral:lncRNA from 1 species